CUGGACCAGGGCUCGAACCCGUGUCCCCUGCAUUGGCAGGUGGAUUCUUAACCACUGCGCCACCAGGGAAGCCCUUGUUUCUGUUUUCAAUGAAAAGCUUCUCAAUGAAAAGCUUCUCAAGUUUAAGGAUAGCCUCUGUUGGUCUCUCUCCAUUCAUUAAGCACUUACUUUGAGCCAAGCACUGUUCUUGUUAGCGUUGGGGAACAGAGAAAUAAAAGGUCAUCCCUGCCCCUAAGAAAUUACAGCCUCAGGGGAAAACAAAGUGUAUUUACAAAAUAGUAUGUGGACCAUGAAUGAGAUAAACAAACACUGGUUGGAGAGUCCAAAAAGUGGCACCUGACCUGCUGGCGAGAGGGAUGGGCUACCAAAUACUGGUGUGAGCCCGAAGGACCCAGACCAGGAAUGCGGAAAGGGAAUCUAGGCAGAAGGGAGAACUCGUGCAAAGCUACUGAACCAUGUCUCAGGACCUAUCCUUGUGCCUUCAAGGCUCUGCUACCCAGCCUUCCUGCCGCCCUGAUUCGUAGGUCUCUCUUUGGAAGUCACCGCCAGUGACAGAAAGAAUGGCCCAAGCUGGCAGAUGGAAGCUAGACUGGCCUGGAGACCGCUAGGAGGCUGAACCCUCCGUCAGGCAAGAGGUCAUGUAAGCAGAACUGGCAAGUUUUGGGAAGGAAAAUGAGGCACCCCCGUCUACGGACCAGGAAGGAAAUGGAACUGAGAGGGGGCUGAGCUGGCAGAGCUGGGGGUUUUCAGCACUUGCAAGGCAGCUGAGCCACUGACUGAAGUUCUACAGCAAAGGGGAGUGAGUGGAGGGCUCAGUUAGUGUCAAACCCAAGGGGAGGUUUCACAGAUACUUUUACUGACUGAGCCCGUACAUCUGAAUUGUAAAGUUGGUUCUGUUAUCACUCUAAACGUUAAAGCAAAGGGUCAUUAAGCAAUAGUUCGAAGACAGUAGGAAUUUUCCCAGGCAAGAGGAUAGGGAAGGGAAAGCAAAGUACUCUGUCUCCCCAAAUUAGGUCUGUGAAAACCCAAUCCUUCUGAGGAUGAGCGCUGUACUCUUCACCACCAGCAUGCAAAACUGCAAUACAGCUGGGAAUUAUAAAAGUAACCAGGACUGCCGGCCUAACAGCCCUCGAUACUGGCUACUUGACACCAACCAUCUACCAUCAGACCCAACCCGCUUCCGCUGAAACGAAAUGAUAAGAAACCCUUGAUCAGUUAGUUGAGUUGCUUCUAAUUUGAGAGUCCACGCAUCUGAAAAGGAAGUUGAAGGUUCUAUGUGAUUAAACUCAGUGAUGUCUUGACUUAUGAAUAGGCUGUGCAGGACUCAGCACUAAUUUAGGUUCCAUGUAUUUUGCUACAACAGAAAAGAGUAAAAAUGAGUCGUUCGGCUUGCAGUGAAAGAUAGUUCCAGGCCUUUUUAAAUUUUAAAGUAAGCUCACCCCCAGUACUCUGGUUAUAGUGUAAA